CUCUGGUUUGGCUAAACAGGACUCCUCUCUCUCUCUCUUCUCUGGUCGUCUUCCACGAAUGGAGAUCGAAGUCGCAGGCUGUGCAAGGAUUGAAGAGGUAAAAUUUUCUCCCCCUUGCUCGAAUCUAUGGUUUCUCUCCCUCAAUCUCUCUCUCUCUGAUUUCUCUUGCUCGUUAUCAUCUCUCACUCUCGUCUCUUGCUUUCGGAGGCUUCUUGAGGAUCUCUAUCCUCUCCAGUAGCUUAUUGGUUCAAAAGAGUUCUCAUUGAAGAGGAGGCUUGAAGUUGAGUCCGGGGUUUACACUUAAGUUGGAGAAUUUUCUGGGCUAAGGGCUAAACUGCACGUGUGGGGGCCUUGGGCCGCAUGUGCGGGGUUGGGGCCACACGUGCAGGAGAUGAGGCCGCACGUACGGAAAAUAGGGGAGGUUCUGGGUUGGUCACUGCAAUAUAUGCAGGUAAAUAAGACCUCAAUCAUAGUAGAUGCAUCCAAGUAUAUAGAGGAGCCGAAGGGAAAAGUAGAGAGGCUAAGCCAAGAUGUUGCAAGUUCACAAAGUUCAAAUGGACAAAACUCAUUGCCAAUGCAAGUUACUGUGGAAACCUUAGAAAAGGGUUUCCUAAUUAAUGUGUUUUCAGAAAAAAAAAAAAUGUCCUGGGUUGCUUGUCACCAUACUGAAAGCCUUUGAAGAGCUGGGCCUUGACGUGCUUGAUGCUAAUGUUUCCUGUUCAGACAAUUUCCGUUUAGAAGCUGUUGGAGGAGAAUGUUCACUGCGUUUGCAACUCAGAGCUUUGUCUUACAACCUCUACCCGUAGACACUUUGUAGACACUUCUCUCAAAGCAAAUAUAAUGGUUUGUGGUUUGGCUUCUUUUCUCUUUCAUUUCCUCUCUAAAUCCAAUAUUUGAGAAUUUGAUUCAGCAUAUUUUGUUUAUUUGGGCAUAAUCAUUUUUUUUUUUAGGGUUAUGUGCGUGUCUAUAUGUAAUAUGUAUACUUUGUAUUCUAUAAAAUGCUUCACCUAACGCAAUACAUG